GAUGAAGAACGUAGCGAAAUGCGAUAAGUAGUGUGAAUUGCAGAAUUCAGUGAAUCAUCGAAUCUUUGAACGCACAUUGCGCCCUUUGGUAUUCCUUAGGGCAUGCCUGUUCGAGCGUCAUUUAAACCUUCAAGCUAAGCUUGGUGUUGGGUGACUGUCCGCUUCACGGCGGACUCGCCUCAAAAUUAUUGGCGGCCGGUACAUUGGCUUCGAGCGCAGCAGAAACGCUAACUCGGGCCCGUCGUAUUGGCUCCCAGAAGCUAUCUUCACAAUUUUGACCUCGGAUCAGGUAGGGAUACCCGCUGAACUUAAGCAUAUCAAUAAGCGGAGGA
rnacentral:misc_RNA from 1 species